rnacentral:rRNA from 1 species
UCCAGACUCCUACGGGAGGCAGCAGUGAGGAAUAUUGGUCAAUGGGCGAGAGCCUGAACCAGCCAAGUCGCGUGAGGGAGUACUGCCCUAUGGGUUGUAAACCUCUUUUGUCGGGGAGCAAAAGCCGGACGUGUCCGGCUGUGAGAGUACCCGAAGAAAAAGCAUCGGCUAACUCCGUGCCAGCAGCCGCGGUAAUACGGAGGAUGCGAGCGUUAUCCGGAUUUAUUGGGUUUAAAGGGUGCGCAGGCGGAUUUUUAAGUCAGCGGUCAAAUCGUGGGGCUCAACCCCAUCCAGCCGUUGAAACUGUCGGACUAGAGACGGCGAGAAGUACGCGGAAUGCGCGGUGUAGCGGUGAAAUGCAUAGAUAUCGCGCAGAACUCCGAUUGCGAAGGCAGCAUGCCGGCUCCACACUGACGCUGAGGCACGAAAGCGUGGGUAUCGAACAGGAUUAGAUACCCGCGUAA